rnacentral:misc_RNA from 1 species
GGAAAAUGGCUAUUAUAAGGUAAAGGGUUUCUCUUCUCUUAGGAUUCAAGUGGAGGCGACUAGUUGGAGGGAGUUGUUUGACUCAAGCAACCUCAGUAGGAAGAACUCCGACAAGAAACGGUGGCCGGAAGUGAUAUCAUGUGUUGGCGCGUGGAUCUAAGGUGGAAAGAAAGAGAUGUUGCAUGGACAUCAUGUAUGCCUUAUCUAACGGCGGACUUUUGUUGGUGACCUCACCGGCGGUUGGUGCUCUUGUCUAGGUUGGCAGUGAGACUUAAAUGAUGUCC